rnacentral:rRNA from 1 species
GACGAACGCUGGCGGCGUGCCUAAUACAUGCAAGUCGAGCGNACAGAAGGGAGCUUGCUCCCGGAUGUUAGCGGCGGACGGGUGAGUAACACGUGGGUAACCUGCCUGUAAGACUGGGAUAACUCCGGGAAACCGGAGCUAAUACCGGAUAGUUCCUUGAACCGCAUGGUUCAAGGAUGAAAGACGGUUUCGGCUGUCACUUACAGAUGGACCCGCGGCGCAUUAGCUAGUUGGUGGGGUAAUGGCUCACCAAGGCGACGAUGCGUAGCCGACCUGAGAGGGUGAUCGGCCACACUGGGACUGAGACACGGCCCAGACUCCUACGGGAGGCAGCAGUAGGGAAUCUUCCGCAAUGGACGAAAGUCUGACGGAGCAACGCCGCGUGAGUGAUGAAGGUUUUCGGAUCGUAAAGCUCUGUUGUUAGGGAAGAACAAGUGCGAGAGUAACUGCUCGCACCUUGACGGUACCUAACCAGAAAGCCACGGCUAACUACGU